ensembl:lncRNA
UGAAAAGUCAACAGAUUAACACCUUUCACUUUUUCACCAACUAUUUAAUUAUCUCAGCUCUGUGAAUUCAGAUUGUUUUUGCAAAUCAAUGUUUGCUCUUUCUAAUUGUCCGUUUUAGAGUAGAUAAGGACAGGAGUACAGUUCAACAAUAUUCACACCCAUAUAUCCCUUGGGGUUGGUGUGGUAAUACCAAUUGUUCUCAACUUUGGAGCUUUUCAGGUUAGGUUCAGCGUUGCAUGGCAGUAGCUGAUCGCUAGGCCACGGCAGUGUCGUUGCGUCAGCUUUAUUCUCCACUGAGGCUUUACGCUAAUUCACUGCAUCCGAUCCUCCAGCAAGGCGCUCAAUGGCCCCGCUCACUGGCUCCAAAGGCCAAACAUUUCUCCCUUUGUUCCCUCGAGAGAGGCUGGAUUUAAAGGGUUGGCAAGGGAAGGGAAUGAUAUUCAGCAAUUUUCUUUUUUUUUUUUUUUUGCUAUUGCUAUUGUUGAAGUGAAUGAAGUUCACCACCACUUUUAAAUCUUUAGCGACAAUCUGGUAGAGUAGCGUACGUAACUAAUAAGAAUGUGUAUUUGCGUAUCACUGACCUGGGAUAAGACACAGGGAUUCACUUUGGCUUUGGUGAGAGAUUAGUCUUUUUUAGUUGCUAUCCCUCUUUAACAGCUCUCACUGUGGGCGUGUGGAUCGAAGUGAGAAAUAGACCGAGGCUGUGUGAAAGCCAGCCCUCAUUUUAGUUAUGGGAAUCACGUAAUGUUGAGAUACAGAUUUAUCAGGUACACUGAUUCAUAUCAAUCACUCGUUUUGAACUACAAACACACACAUUACUAGAGACUAGGUUUAUGCUCAUGAAAUAUUGAUCCCAUAAGAAAACAUUCUCACUGUUUAGGAACUUUUGUUCCUGUGUUGAGUAUAUGUCAUUUUUCUGACUCAGUAUUCAAUGUGGCACUUAAGCAAAAAAAUCAAAACAAAACAAAACUGGCAUUUUGAAAUAUUAUUAAUGUUGUUC